GAGCCAGCUCCGCUUGAGUCAGUGCCUUGCUGCUGUGGGGGAUUUUACUCCACAGCAGACAGGAUACGGGCCCAUGCGAGAUAUCUCAAAAAGUCGGGAUCGCCAGAAGAGGCGGAGUUUUUCGCCACCGCCCGCGACCUGCACCGCCACGGAGAAUUCCGCCUCUUCGUGCACUCCGCUCCGGAAACCCUACCGGUCGUCUGUCCCGCGUGUCCGGCCACCCGCGCCUUUGGCGUGGGGGAGCGCGGGAGGGACAACUUUAGGUAUCACCUGAAGACGUUCCACCGCAGCUCCGAAGCGCCGGACUUGCGCCAACGGGAUCGCGCAGCUCGAACACUGUGCAUCCGCGCUACGUCAGAACGGGCGGCCCGGCGCUUAAGAGCGCCGCUGCUUCCGGAGGCCGCAGAGCCCGUGCUGGUGUGUAAAUAUGCUGACAACACUCGAAUAAAAUGCAUGCACUAUACCCA